UCGCACACGACCAUUUUCUCCGAGCUUUUCGUGUUUAAAUUUACUUUUGACUUUCGUUAUAGUAGCAAACGCAUUUUCGUCGACCACCAUAUUUUAUUAAAUUAAAUCGUAAUUCAAUAUCUGCAUGAGAGCAACAGAUUUGAAUGUCACGUGCAAAUAUAUUUUGUCUAGGCUAUAUAAAUCAGCUGACACUUGCAUCUACCUUAAUCUUUUUGGUUGUUCUAAUUCUAAUACGUCAGUCAAGAAGAGGACAUGUGAUGAGAUGUAAUUUGACAUUGUUAGAUUUGUAAAAGAUAGACCGCUAUAGGACAGGAUCGUCUGAGACAGGCUGUCAUUGUGUCUCAUAUGUUUAUGCUGAUAUGGCUGGCGGGACGAGCUUUGUUCUUGCCAUUUUCAUACAGCUUUGAUUCUACCACAUCUUCCACGGACUGUGAUUCACUUUCUCCAGACCUUUGCCAUGGUCAGCGAGGGGACAUGAGAUCGAUCUUGGCAUGCUGGUGCAGUCUGACGUGGGCCCUUCCUCUCACCCUCAUCACCCUCUCUAUCCCCCACCGAGGCUGGAGAAGAAAGCCCUGCUGGGAAUACAAUCAACACAUUCUACCUUAGAUCUUAGCCAAUUCAACUGACUCCAUAAUCCAUGACUUUUUUGUUGUUGUAGUAGAAUCAAGUAACUGCAAUUUUUAAGAAUUUACUGCAGUUCCCAUUCAACAGAUGCAUAGAGUGCUGUGUUGAUUACAUGCUUUUGUAUGCCUGUAAAUUAGCAUCACCCUGGUUCCCUCGACAAAAACCCAAUAGGAUGUUUAUACUGUAUGGCAUUUGGAUCUUUACAAAAAGUAAUGUAAUUUUAAUAAGUUUUUUUUUUUUUCUUUUUUG